UAGAUAAUUGCCACUCAGUGUGAAAACUGAGACAUGCUUUGAAAUCGUGGACACCUGUUUCGGGAUAAUAGGAGUUAUAAAAAGCAAUUAAGCACACUUUCUAGUCACAAGAGGCUGAAUACCAGGAACGGGGAAGCACAUCCUUCAAAGUUGUUGUCCUGCAAAAAUGAGAGCUGUACUGGUGGUCGGCAUACUGCUUGUUCUAGCCGCGUUUACCAGCGCGCAAUACAUAUCGACGUUCGGCGAUGAUCCAAAGCCCUUGAACCACUUGUCGUCGGACGCUCGAGUUGGAGAGAUGAGCACGGGAGAAUGGGAGAAAGACUCGCCACGAGCUAUAAAAGACAAGAUGCGCCUAAAUCCUUGAAUACAACAAUGAUGGAAGACGAUACUAAAUGCAUUAAGUAGAUGUAAUGUUUUAAUAAAGAGAACGGGGUACCCCGACUGA